GAUGAACGCUGGCGGCGUGCCUAAUACAUGCAAGUCGAGCGAACAGACGAGGAGCUUGUUUCUCUGACGUUAGCGGCGGACGGGGGAGUAACACGUGGAUAACCUCCCUAUAAGACUGGGAUAACUACGGGAAACCGGAGCUAAUACCGGGUAAUAUACUGAACCGCAUGGGUCAAUAGUGAAAUACGCUUUUGCUGUCACUUAUAGAUGUAUCCGCGCCGCAUUAGCUAGUAGGUAAGGUAACGGCUUAACAAGGCGACGAUGGGUAGCCGACCGGAGAGGGUGAUCGGCGACACUGGAACUGAGACGCGUUCCAGACUCCUACGGGAGGCAGCAGUAGGGAAUCUUCCGCAAUGGGCGAAAGCCUGACGGAGCAACGCCGCGUGAGUGAUGAAGGUCUUCGGAUCGUAAAACUCUGUUAUUAGGGAAGAACAAAUGUGUAAGUAACUAUGCACGUCUUGACGGUACCUAAUCAGAAAGCCACGGCUAACUACGUG
rnacentral:rRNA from 1 species